UCGGAAGAUGGCGUUGAGUAUGUUUGACUCGGAGACUGCUGCAGUGCACUGGAAAAAUCGUGUUUAAUCUCCGUUUUAGAAAAUGAAAGAUUUGGGGGUGACAAACCUGCUUCAGGAGUGGGACUUCCCACAUUUAGUUCCAGUCUUUAGAGUUAAAUGUUGCAGAAGAUGAGCACGAAGAAGACACCUACUGGAUGCAAUAUUACUCAUCACCUGACAACAUUGUUGUUAAUGUGACGAACCUCGGUACCGAGAUAUGAGUUGACUAGAGGAAACCCGCGACCAAGCACAGCAGAAAUUCUUGACAAAUAUCUACAGCUUUUGGGAAUGAUUGAUCAAGACUUUGAUUUAACAAUUGAUGCAGCUCCUGGUGCCCUUUUCACAAUGUGGCCAAAGUUGUCCAGGCAGACUUUGGAAUUUGCGGAGAAGAUUAAUCCAGGGUAUAGAAAGAUCCUAGGGGCUGGAGUGGACCAGAAAAUGACGCAGAGUCGACAAUGAAGAAAAUUUGACUUUCAGUACUUCCUGGGAUUUUGAUCGGCAGAACGAAAGGGGAAUGAGGCAAAUUAAAUGUGCCGUACUUCAAAGUCUUGAAUCUUUCAUCAAUCUCCAAUUAGAAGGAGCAUGAAGAAAAAGAAGAUGAACAGGAAUUGACAAUGGCGCGUUCCAUACCUGGGAGUGAUUGCACAGUGGCACCCUUGGACCUAAUUUCACCCUGACAUCAAGUUGGUUUUAAGGAGAACCAUGAGAGAAAUUAAUAAAUUAAAGUUUGGCGAAUAUCAAAGAAUAACAGAGUUAUGAGGCUUCAAAGUUUUAAAUUUGUGACAUGACAUGAAUAUGAUUUACCCAUAAAUUAAUUCAUAUAAAAUAAUAUCAUUUGGAAAAUUUUACCAUAC